rnacentral:rRNA from 1 species
UACGGAGGGGACUAGCGUUGUUCGGAAUUACUGGGCGUAGAGCGCACGUAGGCGGAUUUGUAAGUCAGGGGUGAAAUCCCGGGGCUCAACCUCGGAACUGCCUUUGAUACUGCAAAUCUCGAGUCCGGAAGAGGUGAGUGGAAUUCCUAGUGUAGAGGUGAAAUUCGUAGAUAUUAGGAAGAACACCAGUGGCGAAGGCGGCUCACUGGUCCGGUACUGACGCUGAGGUGCGAAAGCGUGGGGAGCAAACAGGG